CCUACGGGUGACAGCAGUGGGGAAUAUUGGGCAAUGGGCGCAAGCCUGACCCAGCAACGCCGCGUGAAGGAAGAAGGCUUUCGGGUUGUAAACUUCUUUUCUGAGGGACGAAGAAAGUGACGGUACCUCAGGAAUAAGCCACGGCUAACUACGUGCCAGCAGCCGCGGUAAUACGUAGGGGGCAAGUGUUAUCCGGAUUUACUGGGUGUAAAGGGAGCGUAGGUGGCAUGGUAAGCCAGAAGGGAAAACCCAGGGCUCAACUCUGUGGAUUGCUUUUGGAACUAUCAAGCUAGAGUGCUGGAGGGGUAAGCGGAAUUCCUAGUGUAGCGGUGAAAUGCGUAGAUAUUAGGAGGAACACCGGUGGCGAAGGCGGCUUACUGGACAGAAACUGACACUGAGGCUCGAAAGCGUGGGGAGCAAACAGGAUUAGAUACCCUUGUAGUC
rnacentral:rRNA from 1 species